rnacentral:rRNA from 1 species
UGGGGAAUAUUGCACAAUGGGCGCAAGCCUGAUGCAGCCAUGCCGCGUGUGUGAAGAAGGCCUUCGGGUUGUAAAGCACUUUCAGCGAGGAGGAAGGCGUUAAGGUUAAUAACCUUGGCGAUUGACGUUACUCGCAGAAGAAGCACCGGCUAACUCCGUGCCAGCAGCCGCGGUAAUACGGAGAGUGCAAGCGUUAAUCGGAAUUACUGGGCGUAAAGCGCACGCAGGCGGUUUGUUAAGUCAGAUGUGAAAUCCCCGAGCUUAACUUGGGAACUGCAUUUGAAACUGGCAAGCUAGAGUCUUGUAGAGGGGGGUAGAAUUCCAGGUGUAGCGGUGAAAUGCGUAGAGAUCUGGAGGAAUACCGGUGGCGAAGGCGGCCCCCCUGGACAAAGACUGACGCUCAGGUGCGAAAGCG